AUUGAACGCUGGCGGCAUGCCUUACACAUGCAAGUCGAACGGUAACAGGUCUUCGGAUGCUGACGAGUGGCGAACGGGUGAGUAAUACAUCGGAACGUGCCUAGUAGUGGGGGAUAACUACUCGAAAUAGUGGCUAAUACCGCAUGAGAUCUACGGAUGAAAGCAGGGGAUCGCAAGACCUUGUGCUACUAGAGCGGCCGAGGGCAGAUUAGGUAGUUGGUGGGAUAAAAGCUUACCAAGCCGACGAUCUGUAGCUGGGCUGAGAGGACGAUCAGCCACACUGGGACUGAGACACGGCCCAGACUCCUACGGGAGGCAGCAGUGGGGAAUUUUGGACAAUGGGCGCAAGCCUGAUCCAGCAAUGCCGCGUGCAGGAUGAAGGCCUUCGGGUUGUAAACUGCUUUUGUACGGAACGAAAAGCCCUGGGUUAAUACCCUGGGGUCAUGACGGUACCGUAAGAAUAAGCACCGGCUAACUACGUGCCAGCAGCCGCGGUAAAAC
rnacentral:rRNA from 1 species